rnacentral:lncRNA from 1 species
UAUGGAGAAACACCAUAUGGUGGUGAUACUGAAAAAACUACCUAUGGAGAGAAUACAUAUGAAGAGAAAACUAGUUAUGGUGGGGGAGAUAACUAUGGGGAUAACAAAUAUGGUGAGAAACCUGGCAAUGGAGAAAGUGGAUAUGGAGAGAAAACUAGUUAUGCUGAGGGAGGUAAGUAUGGAGAUAGUGGCUACGAAAAAAAGACUACCUACGGAGAUAGUGGCUAUGAAAAUAAGACUAGUUAUGGAGACAGUGGCUAUGAAAACAAGACUGGAUAUGGAGAUAUUCCAUCUGAAACUACCUAUGGAGAGAAAACUAAUUAUGGUGAAGGAGAUAC